rnacentral:tRNA from 1 species
GGGGCUGUGGCUCAGUGGUAGAGUGCUUAUCUAACAUGCAUGAGGCACUGGGUUCAAAUCCCCCGCACCA